UAAGCAUCUUCUUCCAUCACUUUUGAAAUUAACAACACAAAAUUCUUACUUGCUCAGUUUUCAUCACUUUGUUUGAACUUCUGAUUAACAAUGCAGGUACGAACUCCGACUUUCUGAACUUAACACUCAAAUUCAGAUUUGUUUGUUUGUAGAAAAAGCUCCGACAAACACGGAAGCACUAUGAUACAUAUAAUGCUUUGUUGGAGAUUAAAGAUUUGAUGCUCAAAGAAACAUCCUUGUUGAAUUCAAUUAAUGUGCAGUUCCAAAAUGCUAUUACUAGCGCUGAUGGGAGGGUAAAACUCACAAACUCCUUGGAGGGAAUUUUGAAUGGGACUCAACAGGUAUCCAUUUCGUACGUAUAUUUCUACCCAAACUGAAAUUAAUCUAACCAUAUAACUUUCAAUUAUCAUCUCCAAGAAGCUCUCUUGUGUUUCUGUUCCAUGAACUAUUAUUUUGGGAAAGUAUAUUCUAGAAAAAUACAGAUAAGUUUGGAUAAGUGAGAGGUGCAAAGUUUGACCAGUUAAGUUGAUAGCUUGAUUGGACAUUUUAUUUUGAGGAGACGUGUUUGGUUUACUUGCAAAGAAAUGUCAGAUUAAGAGAUUCUUCUGUUAAUGGGGUUUAGUUGUUGAAAAUGGGA